GAUGAACGCUAGCGGCAAGCUUAAUACAUGCAAGUCGAGGGGCAGACGACGGGUAGCAAUACCUGGUGGCGACCGGCAAACGGGUGCGGAACACGUACGCAACCUUCCCAAAACAGGUGAAUAGCCUUUCGAAAGAGAGAUUAAUACACCGUAACAUAAUGAAGUGGCAUCACUUUAUUAUUAUAGGCAGCAAUGUCGGUUUUGGAUGGGCGUGCGCCUGAUUAGGUAGUUGGCGGGGAACGGCCCACCAAGCCUGCGAUCAGUAACUGGUGUGAGAGCACGACCAGUCACACGGGCACUGAGACACGGGCCCGACUCCUACGGGAGGCAGCAGUAAGGAAUAUUGGUCGAAUGGACGCAAGUCUGAACCAAGCUAUGCCGCGUGAAGGAUGAAGGUCCUCUGGAUUGUAAACUUCUUUUAUCUGGGACGAAAGAGCUCUUUCUAGAGCACUUGACGGUACCAGAGGAAUAAGCA
rnacentral:rRNA from 1 species